UAUGACAACGUAAAAGGAAGAUGAAGGAUCUAAAGCAGAAGAAUUUAAUACCAGCAAAAGAUGGUUUGAUGAUAUUAGAAGUUUGGCUUAAAAAAUGUCACACUAACAGCAGAAGCAACUUUUACCCAACCAAGAGGCAGCAGGUGGGUUUCCAGACAUUUGUAAGAAAAUCACUAAAGAGAAAGGAUAUCUGCCUGAACAGGUGUAUUUUUUAACAUUUAUGAGUAAGGAAGAGAAUUGAGCACCAGGAUUUAAGGCAAGAAGGGAUAGGUUAACUUUACAAUUUUGUGCAAGUGCAGUUGGGUUUGUAAUCAGGAUUGCGCUUAUCUAUAAAGCUGCUAACCCCCGAGCCUUAAAGGAAAAAAGUAAAUACCAGCUGCUAGUCUUCUAGUUACACAAUAAGAAGGUCUGAAUAAUAACAGCAUUCAACAUUUAUUCUGGAUUGGUUCCUUCAGUGCAUUGUCCCUGAAGUCAGGAGGUACCUUGCCAGGAAGACACUGCCUUUUUAAAAUCCUUUUAAUAUUGGACAAUGCCUUGGGUCACCCAGAACCCCAUGAGUUUAACAGUGGAGGCAUUGGAGUGGUCUACUUGCCUGCAAACAUAGUGUCUCUAAUUCAGCCUCUAGAUCACGAGAUCAUAAGGACCUUUAAGGCUCAUUACACAUGGCACUCUAUGGAAAGGAUUGUCAACCUGAUAGAACAUCAUGAAAGUCUGGAAGGAUUAUACCAUUGAAGAUGCCAUCGUUAUAGAGAAAACCAUGAAAGCCAUCAAGCCCAAAACUAUACAUUCCUGCUGGAGAAAACUGUCUAGAUGUUGUGCAUGACUUCACAGGAUUUAAGACAGAGCCAUUCAAGGAAAUCAUAAAAGAGAUUGUGGAUAUGACCAAAAAAAAAAAA